UUUUAUAAUGCAUGUGAUGUGUGUGUGUAUUUAUUAGAGCUAUAUUUGACUACAUGUAUAUACAUCAAGAUUUAUACAAAGACAUUAGAAAAACAGGCACAGUCACUCAUGGAUAUUAGUUAUAUAUAAAGGUUAUUGAGGAUGCAAAGAUAUAAAAGAUAGAAGAACCUAGUAAUUGCCUUUAAGAUCAGAGCACAAAGCAUUAGUUUGGAUUUUACAAGGCCAGCCAGCAACAAAAGAGCAGUAAUUUAUGAGCUCAGCGUAAAAGAAUAGCAUAAUUGCAUUAAAAAUUAAUGCUAAUGAACACUAAAAUGGGGAAGGUGGUUAUGAUGAAAGUUUGUAUUCAUCUUCCCUGGUUUGAAUGAUGGCUAGUGGCUUGAUUAAUGGCUUAAUUUCUAUCAAUUAGCGGGGAAAAAUCUCCUGUGAGACAAGGGUAAAUUGAGCAUUGAAUUACAUAUCUUGCUUUUGUGUGCUAAGAAAAAAGAGCUGCGUAUCUCUGAUAUUAGCCACAGUGACAAAUGUGGUGUGCCCCGAGAUGUCUGCAGCACUCUGCUGACAGGCGGGCUGUGUGUGGUUAUAGGGUGUUGGAUGGAGACGGCUGGCAGACAGCAUUCACUCUUAGUUCCUUAGAAACAUUCGGCUCCCAUCUACAGAAUUUUAAUUAGAGUCAAUAACAAUUCUGGAAUUAAAAUGGACAGCAGACAGCAACUGCGAUUCCUUAUUCUAAUCUAGUAAUCUGGGUUCCUCAAGUUGCAUGCCUUUCUUCUACCUUGUUGCGAUGAAAAUAAAUAGAAAUAAAAAUAAAACUGUCCAGCAGCCUUAGUUCUGUAGUUCUGGUGAGAUGAUCAUUUCUUAUCAUUGCAUUAAAGUAAACAUGACUACUCAGGUUUACCAUGUCUUGAGCAAGCGUAAACCAAUAGUCACUAUAGUUGGACUGCGUAGUAUCAUAGAAACUGAUUUUUUUUCUAACAGUUGUUGCACACAGUAAAUAACAAAAUCUGAAGUGAACAUUUUUCCUGCUUGUGUUAUUUGUAGGCUUAAGUGGAAGUGCUACUAGGUUCUCAAGUACUUUAAGUUUUGUUCAUUAUAAAGGUUGUAAGAAUAUGAUGUAAUAAUUUCUUUAAAAUUCUGUUUAAGUAUAGAAGAUUCUGAAAAUACAAUUCUAUAACCCACGUCAAAAUAACGUCAGAGGAGCAAGACCGUGUGUACAUCUCUUCUACAAGCAGAGCUGUGUAACGUUUUGCUGCGUGAAUAAGCAUUAGAAUGCAGAAUAAUUACAAUCCCAAGGACAUUUGUUAUUUCUAGUAAAUGGAAGGAGUAAGGAGAAAUCAUUUAUUGUGUGAUGUAAAAAGGGUAAAUAAUUCAUUUUAGAAGCAAUGACUAAAUCACAGGUCAGGGUUGGUUCUGCCACCACCUACCCACGUGAGCUUGACUGAGUUGCUGAUUUGCUUUAGUUUUUCAUCUUGCAGUGAGAAUAGUCAGGUUAUCCCAGCAGCUGUGAUGGGUAGAGUGUAAAGUAGUUAGCCCAAGUGCCUUAAAUCUGACCUGUUGCUGCUCCCCAUACCAGCAUAGUACCAUAUGGCAUUUAAAUGAAAACUGUCUCCAUCAUGUUCCCAUUCAAAAGGCAUCACAAACAAAGCAAAAGUUUCGUGCAUUAAACUACAGCAAAUUUUCUUUGAACAUAGAUUCUUCCACUUGAGAUAGAUCAUGCUAAGGGAAAUGGCAAACCCCCUAUAGCUCAGAGUAUUGGAUCCUGGCAGCUGUGACAAUCUAGUAGCUUCCCCAUUCACCACACUGCCCUGGCCACACUGUGGCCUGGACAGAUAAAGCCAUGGUAGCCUUUGUACCUUCUUUGAGAUGUGCACAGGAAUGCCUUCCAGUAGUCCUUGUCUCUCUCUGUUCGUUCUCAUAGUCUUUCCUGCCACGCCUCAGCAGGAGUGAACCAAAGCCAGUCACAGAGUCAAAACAACUUGGCAGCUUUCCUGUCCUUACUGCUAUAACUAAAUGGCGCUAAGCAUGCAUCUAUAGUAACAUGCAUUUACUAAGUAUUUGUCAUGAUCUAAUAACCUCACACGAAGCAGGAGUAUCACUAGGAUUUUCAUGGCUACUUUUUCGUGUUACCCUUUUCUGCUGAAAUGUCAGAAUGUCCGGGUGUUCUUGCCUGUUUCCCCUGUCUCACAUAGUUCCCUAGCUUCUUUCUGAUCUCUCUCUCUCUCUCUCUCUCUCUCUCUCUCUCUCUCUCAUGGGGUACCCACCUUAUUUGUUUAUGAUUUGUCUCCUUACUAUACACUCUCAGAGCAAUGCCUCAUGUGGUCAAUGUGCUCAAGUAUUUGAAAGGCAGAAAGAAGAAAGGGGGAGGGAAACUUUCACUCCUCCUAAGACAUGUAGCCCAUUAUUAUCUCACUACCAGAAAGGAGAACUCAGACCUGCACAGCUUGCACCAUUUGCCCAAGGCUACGACAGCUUGUAAGUAGCACGGAAAGUUUGACCCAGGCAGUCUAAACCCACAGAUUCUAAAACUAUCGCUUAGGAGGCUGGAGAGAUGGCUCAGUUGUUAAAAGCACUGGCUAGUCUUCCAGACGACCUGGCUUCAAUUUCCAGCAUUCACAUAGAGGAUCAUCUGUAACUCCAUUUCCAGAGAGCCAGUGCCCUCUUCUGGCCUCCUUGAGCACAAGCCAUACAUGCAGGCAAACACUAAAGUAAAAUAAACACUAAAACAAUGAAUUUUUUUAAGUCACUUGCACAUUUUAUUUUUAAUGUUUUAAUGCCCCUUGAAUUUUAGUUAUUCAAAAAAUAUAUAUUAAUUGCUCACUAAACAAUACAGUACCCUCAACUAAGCUCUUAAGGUAACAGAGAGAUAUGUCAUCUCUUAACUGAGGAGACAGAGCUGCCACUCACACAGAGGUCAUGAUCAGUGUGAGACAGCAUAUGCUAAGAGCCAGGUGAAUUAUGGAAGAGGUCUCUCUUCACACCAGUGGCAAGUGACAGCAUCAUUAAAACAUAUGUAUAGGUAUGGCCGUAAAUGACAGUGAAAAUUGAGAGAUAUGAAAACUUUCUAAGUAAGAUAUUCAGUGAAGAUUCUGUUUUUAUGAAUCACAAUGGCCCAAUUUGCUUGUACUUUUUAUGUUUAACUGAAAUUCUUUGAUAGUAUGGCCACACUGAAAUUAUUUGUCUCAUUUAACAUGCCAGAGGAAGUAUUUUAAUAUGGUGAGCUUGUGCUGGACCACCCCCCAGCCACGUCUUGUGAAAACCACUUGAAGAACCUCUGCUUCCCUUGGGACAGUGUUCACAGCAUCAGCUUCUGGAAGCUUCUAGGCAAGGCCUUUCUACCUAAGGAGUCUUCUGAUUUUUCAAGCUCUUUGUGGAUAUAAUUUUGUGGAAAUUUGUUUUUAAGAAUGUGUUUUAUGAACAGCUUAUAAAUGUUAAGAUUGGAUAGGUUUCUAAUGUAUUCUUUUUAAAAGAAAUAUUGAAGAGAUAUUGGUUUAUGUAAUGUAUAAGUGCAUAGCAUGUAUCCAGUGGUAAAAGUAUAAAAUCUGGUGUGAAGCUUACCAUCUUCCUUCCUAAGUGGCUAUUGUAACUGCAUAGAAUUCCACUACAUUAUCUAGCCUUUGGUUCUGGUUCAUAGUCUGGCUCUGCUUAAUUUUGCUGCGUGAUUUCUUUUUUGCAACUUUUUAUGAUAAAGUUUAUAUAAAAGAAAAAAGAUAAAUUGUUUUUAAAAGCAAAGCAAUAACUGUAAAUUUUAUGUUUAUAAGAAAUUAUCUUAAUAAUUUAAACUUUCUAAUUUUAUUUACCUACAAGUUCUAUUGAAAACAACUUUCCUACUCAAGUAUGUUGUCUUGUUCUUCAUCCUUGGAAAGCACUGGGAAAUGCUUUGCAGUACAGAUGCUGAUUGUCUUAUUUAAAACGGGAUGCUCAUGGUUGUUUUGUAUUCCUGGCUAAUAUCCGAGUCAAUUUAAUCUGGAAAUUGGGUAAUACUUUGUAUUAUUAAUGGAUUUGUAGCAGUAGUGUUAGUGUAUAAAUAUAUUUUCCUGGAACAAUAUCAUAAAUAACUCAGUAACCUAGACCAACUGACCCAAAUUUUUUGUUAACAUAAAACGCAUUUUAACUUUAGAUAAGUUCAUAAAAUAUUAAUAACUGGAAAGAACCAGUUGACAAUGAGCUCUUUGCAUGUGUUAAAGAUCUCUUUGAAGCACCAGUUGUCCUCAUCCCAAUAUGACAUCUUGGGCAAUAGUGCCAUCUGCUGUUGCCAUCCUGUUACUGCUAGCACAGGAGGCGUUAAUGUUUGUAAUCAAAAAACUGGUGGUGGGGACAUCCUCCUGGUGACAGGGGGUGGGGAGGAGGUAUGAGAUGUGGAACAGUUUGAGAGUGGACUGGGAGUGUAAAUAAAUAAAUAAUAAAUAAAGUAUUUUU
rnacentral:lncRNA from 1 species